rnacentral:rRNA from 1 species
AUCGAUGAAGAACGCAGCGAAAUGCGAUAAGUAAUGUGAAUUGCAGAAUUCAGUGAAUCAUCGAAUCUUUGAACGCACAUUGCGCCCUCUGGUAUUCCGGGGGGCAUGCCUGUUCGAGCGUCAUUACAACCCUCAAGCUCUGCUUGGUAUUGGGCGUCACCACUCGUGGUGUGCCUUAAAAUCAGUGGCGGUGCCAUUCGGCUUCAAGCGUAGUAAUUUUUCUCGCUUCUGGAGUCCGGGUGUGCGCUUGCCAGCAACCCCCAAUUUUUUUAAGGUUGACCUCGGAUCAGGUAGGGAUACCCGCUGAACUUAAGCAUAUCAAUAAGCGGAGGAAAAGAAACCAACAGGGAUUGCCUCAGUAACGGCGAGUGAAGCGGCAACAGCUCAAAUUUGAAAUCUGGCCUCACGGUCCGAGUUGUAAUUUGUAGAGGAUGUUUCGAGUCUGGUCCGGUCUAAGUUCCUUGGAACAGGACGUCAUAGAGGGUGAGAAUCCCGUAUGCGACUGGGUGCCUAAUCUCAUGUGAAACUCCUUCGACGAGUCGAGUUGUUUGGGAAUGCAGCUCAAAAUGGGUGGUAAAUUUCAUCUAAAGCUAAAUACUGGCCAGAGACCGAUAGCGCACAAGUAGAGUGAUCGAAAGAUGAAAAGCACUUUGGAAAGAGAGUUAAACAGUACGUGAAAUUGUUGAAAGGGAAGCGCUUGCAACCAGACUUGCACGCAGUCGAUCAUCCGAUGUUUUCACCGGUGCACUCGAUUGUGUUCAGGCCAGCAUCGGUUUUGGUGGUGGGAUAAAGGCCUUGGGAAUGUAGCUUCUUUCGGGGAGUGUUAUAGCCCUCGGUGCAAUGCCGCCUACUGGGACCGAGGACCGCGCUUCGGCUAGGAUGCUGGCGUAAUGGUUGUAAGCGACCCGUCUUGAAACACGG